rnacentral:rRNA from 1 species
UACGUAGGGGCUAGCGUUAUCCGGAAUUACUGGGCGUAAAGGGUGCGCAGGCGGGGGAUUAAGUCGGCGGUGAAAUUUUGCAGCUCAACUGUAAAAGUGCCUUCGAAACUGGUUUCCUUGAGUGUAGAUGAAGUAGGCGGAAUUUGUGGUGUAGCGGUGAAAUGCAUAGAUAUCACGAGGAACUCCGAUUGCGCAGGCAGCUUACUAAACUACUACUGACGCUCAGGCACGAAGGCGUGGGGAUCAAACAGGAUUAGAUACCCCGGUAGUCCCUGA